UACGGAGGUCUCAAGCGUUGUUCGGAAUCACUGGGCGUAAAGGGUGCGUAGGCUGCACGGUAAGUCAGAGGUGAAAUCCCGGAGCUCAACUCCGGAAUGGCCUCCGAUACUGCCGUGCUCGAGGACUGAAGAGGAGUCUGGAAUUCACAGUGGAGCAGUGAAAUGCGUAGAUAUUGUGAGGAACACUAGUGGCGAAGGCGAGACUCUGGACAGUUCCCGACGCUGAGACACGAAAGCCAGGGGAGCAAACGGG
rnacentral:rRNA from 1 species